rnacentral:rRNA from 1 species
CCUACGGGAGGCAGCAGUAAGGAAUAUUGGUCAAUGGGCGCAAGCCUGAACCAGCCAUGCCGCGUGCAGGAAGACGGCCCUAUGGGUUGUAAACUGCUUUUGAACAAGAGAAAACCUCGGUACGUGUACCGAGCUGAUAGUAUUGUUAGAAUAAGCAUCGGCUAACUUCGUGCCAGCAGCCGCGGUAAGACGAAGGAUGCAAGCGUUAUCCGGAUUCAUUGGGUUUAAAGGGUGCGUAGGCGGCCUGAUAAGUCAGUGGUGAAAUCUCUCAGCUUAACUGAGAAACUGCCAUUGAUACUGUCGGGCUUGAGUACAGAUGAUGUGGGCGGAAUAUGACAUGUAGUGGUGAAAUACUUAGAUAUGUCAUAGAACACCGAUUGCGAAGGCAGCUCACAAAACUGUAACUGACGCUGAGGCACGAAAGUGCGGGGAUCAAACAGGAUUAGAUACCCUGGUAGUCCGCACCGUAAACGAUGAUUACUCGUUGUUGGCAAUAUGACCGUCAGCGACCAAGCGAAAGCGAUAAGUAAUCCACCUGGGGAGUACGCCGGCGAACGGUGAAACUCAAAGGAAUUAGACGG